rnacentral:rRNA from 1 species
UACGAGGGGAGCUAGCGUUGUUCGGAAUUACUGGGCGUAAAGGGCGUGUAGGCGGUAUCAUAAGUCAGAUGUGAAAGCCCUGGGCUUAACCUAGGAUGUGCAUUUGAUACUGUGAAACUAGAGAUCGAGAGAGGAAAGUGGAAUUACGAGUGUAGAGGUGAAAUUCGUAGAUAUUCGUAAGAACACCAGUGGCGAAGGCGACUUUCUGGCUCGAUACUGACGCUAAGGCGCGAAAGCGUGGGGAGCAAACAGG